GACGAACGCUGGCGGCGUGCUUAACACAUGCAAGUCGAACGGAAAGGCCCUGCUUGCAGGGUACUCGAGUGGCGAACGGGUGAGUAACACGUGGGUGAUCUGCCCUGCACUUCGGGAUAAGCCUGGGAAACUGGGUCUAAUACCGGAUAGGAGCCAUUUUUAGUGUGAUGGUUGGAAAGUUUUUUCGGUGUAGGAUGAGCUCGCGGCCUAUCAGCUUGUUGGUGGGGUAAUGGCCUACCAAGGCGGCGACGGGUAGCCGGCCUGAGAGGGUGGACGGCCACAUUGGGACUGAGAUACGGCCCAGACGCCUACGGGAGGCAGAAGUGGGGAAUAUUGCACAAUGGGCGCAAGCCUGAUGCAGCGAAGCCGCGUGGGGGAUGACGGCCUUCGGGUUGUAAACUCCUUUCGCUAGGGACGAAGCUUUUGUGACGGUAACUAGAUAAGAAGCACCGGCUAACUACGUG
rnacentral:rRNA from 1 species